rnacentral:rRNA from 1 species
UGCCUGUAAGACUGGGAUAACUCCGGGAAACCGGGGCUAAUACCGGAUGCUUGAUUGAACCGCAUGGUUCAAUCAUAAAAGGCGGCUUCGGCUGCCGUUUACAGAUGGACCCGCGGCGCAUUAGCUAGUUGGUGAGGUAACGGCUCACCAAGGCGACGAUGCGUAGCCGACCUGAGAGGGUGAUCGGCCACACUGGGACUGAGACACGGCCCAGACUCCUACGGGAGGCAGCAGUAGGGAAUCUUCCGCAAUGGACGAAAGUCUGACGGAGCAACGCCGCGUGAGUGAUGAAGGUUUUCGGAUCGUANAGCUCUGUUGUUAGGGAAGAACAAGUACCGUUCGAAUAGGGCGGUACCUUGACGGUACCUAACCAGAGAGCCACGGCUAACUA